CAGUGGAUUCUGAUAUAGGGUCUUCCACAAAAGCAAAAAGAAAGAAAAGAGAUAGGGUGUGAGGUCUUACAAGGCCAAGAAAAGGUCUUACAAGGUCAAGAAAAGGUCUUACAAGGUCAAGAAGACUCUAAGGAAAAAGAAACAAGUGUGGUAGAAAUUAGAUGAAGGUGAAGAGAGAAGGUAAAAAG